GCUCGCGCCAAAUCCAACUUUAGCUUCAUUAGCAAGUCUCUCUUCAACGCCGCUCUCAUUUCCAUUACUUCACAGCUGCAAUACAGCAACUCGCUGGCUGUACUCCUUCAGCCCUUUUUCGUUAAACAACACGAACAGCAACUCUCGUUUGCACUCGAGCUAGAAGCGGAUCUAGAAGUUUUACUUACAGCGCGGAUUGAGUUCUAUUGUAUUGUAGGGUUUCUCCUCAAUCCUCAUCAUUUUUCUGUAAAUGGACGCAUUCAAGAACCAGUCGUUCUUCCAAGAUAUCAAAUCAAGGGAGGUUCAUGGAUACAGAGUUAAAAGACGACCUUAUAUCAGUCACGAAUUGUCUAAUUUCAACCAAAUUGGAGCCGUAGCAGUUGACCACGACGGGUUCACGCCACCUCCAAUGGCCAUAUCUUUCUGCAAG